UACGACGGGGCCUAGCGUUGCUCGGAAUCACUGGGCGUAAAGCGCACGUAGGCGGCUUCUUAAGUCAGGGGUGAAAUCCUGGGGCUCAACCCCAGAACUGCCCUUGAUACUGAGGAGCUUGAGUCCGGGAGAGGUGAAUGGAACUCCGAGUGUAGAGGUGAAAUUCGUAGAGAUUCGGAAGAAUACCAGUGGCGAAGGCGGCUCACGGGCCCGGUACUGACGCUGAGGUGCGAAAGCGUGGGGAGCAAACAGG
rnacentral:rRNA from 1 species